UACGUAGGGUGCAAGCGUUGUCCGGAAUUAUUGGGCGUAAAGAGCUCGUAGGCGGUCUGUCGCGUCUGCUGUGAAAACUCAGGGCUUAACCCUGAGCUUGCAGUGGGUACGGGCAGACUAGAGUGCGGUAGGGGAGACUGGAAUUCCUGGUGUAGCGGUGAAAUGCGCAGAUAUCAGGGGGAACGACCGGUGGCGAAGGCGGGUCUCUGGGCCGUAACUGACGCUGAGGAGCGAAAGCAUGGGGAGCGAACAGG
rnacentral:rRNA from 1 species